rnacentral:rRNA from 1 species
AUACGGAGGGGGCUAGCGUUGUUCGGAAUUACUGGGCGUAAAGCGUGCGUAGGCGGCUACUUAAGUUGGAUGUGAAAGCCCCGGGCUCAACCUGGGAACUGCAUCCAAAACUGGGUGGCUAGAGUGCGAGAGAGGAGUGUGGAAUUUCCUGUGUAGCGGUGAAAUGCGUAGAUAUAGGAAGGAACACCAGUGGCGAAGGCGACACUCUGGCUUGACACUGACGCUGAGGUACGAAAGCGUGGGGAGCAAACAGGAUUAGAUACCCCGGUAGUCC